rnacentral:rRNA from 1 species
UACAGAGGUCUCAAGCGUUGUUCGGAUUCAUUGGGCGUAAAGGGUGCGUAGGCGGCGCGGUAAGUCGGGUGUGAAAUCUCGGAGCUUAACUCCGAAACUGCAUUCGAUACUGCCGUGCUUGAGGACUGGAGAGGAGACUGGAAUUUACGGUGUAGCGGUGAAAUGCGUUGAUAUCCUAAGGAACACCGGUGGCGAAGGCGGCUUACUGGGUCUCAACUGACGCUGAGGCACGAAAGCUAGGGUAGCAAACGGG